CAAAUUCUGACGGAGCAACGCCGCGUGAGUGAUGAAGGUUUUCGGAUCGUAAAACUCUGUUGUUAGGGAAGAACAAGUACCGUUCGAAUAGGGCGGUACCUUGACGGUACCUAACCAGAAAGCCACGGCUAACUACGUGCCAGCAGCCGCGGUAAUACGUAGGUGGCAAGCGUUGUCCGGAAUUAUUGGGCGUAAAGCGCGCGCAGGCGGUCUUUUAAGUCUGAUGUGAAAGCCCCCGGCUCAACCGGGGAGGGUCAUUGGAAACUGGGAGACUUGAGUGCAGAAGAGGAGAGUGGAAUUCCACGUGUAGCGGUGAAAUGCGUANAGAUGUGGAGGAACACCAGUGGCGAAGGCGACUCUCUGGUCUGUAACUGACGCUGAGGCGCGAAAGCGUGGGGAGCGAACAGGAUUAGAUACCCUGGUAGUCCACGCCGUANACGAUGAGUGCUAAGUGUUAGAGGGUUUCCGCCCUUUAGUGCUGCAGCAAACGCAUUAAGCACUCC
rnacentral:rRNA from 1 species